GUUUGCCUGGGCGGGGGUCUCUGGGUCAUGGGUUUGCCUGGGUGGGAGUCUCUGGGUCAUUGGUUUGCGGGGGUCUCGGUCAUGGGUUUGCCUGGGCGAGGGUCCCUGGGUCUUGGGUUUGCCCGGGUGCGGGUCUCUGGGUCAUGGGUUUGCCCGUGUCAUGGGCUUGCCUGGAUGGGGGCUGUAACAGCAGAACUGUCUUCAAUGGCCCCCUAUUCACUACAGGACACUACUUCAAUGGCCCCCUAUUGACCACAGGACACUAGUGGCCAGGGCCCGUAGAGCACUAGACGGACCGUUUCAGGACAGAUCCAGGAACAGGCGGAUGGAGAAGCAAACCACUGAUCUGAUUAGUAACUUUGUCAGAAUGACUGGAUUGACCAACAUGUGGCUCUGAAAUGGAAGCCUAUUCCCUAUAUAGUGCUCUGCUUUUUGACACUGUAGUGCCUUAUCUAGGGAAUAGGGUGCCAUUUUUCAUGCGCGCUUUGAAACCUAAGAUAUAACAGUUGUGUGUGUACAGUAUAAAUACAAAGAAAGAUAACUAUUUUAAAAUAGAUAGGACAUUGCUGUUUAGCAUUUUCUAUUUAAAUUAUUUAUUUUUUUAGAUAUCGUACUAAUGCUAUAUUGACAUGCAUAUAAAUGUGUACAUACAUGUGGCAUUAACAGAUAUUUCGGUAACACUCGACACCCAGCGUCAUAGCAUGUUAUGACACUGUCAUAACCAUCUCAUAUCUGUUGUCACAACACUCAAAUGUAUAUUUACACAUGUGACAUUUUGUUAGUUUAUGGCUGGUGAUGACACCUGCCAUAAGUGUCCAAACCAACAUUUAUUAAAAUGUGUUUUCCCUGCCAAGAAGAUUCCUUUCAACGUUUGUUUCUUAAGUCCUUUGUUGUAAUGGAGUCUUUAGUCAUUUAGUUUUUUAAAUGUUAAAUAACUUGUAGAAAAUAUACAGUAUAGCACUAUCAUGAAGUAUUAUGUCUCUUUAUGACACUGGCAUGAAGCAUUACGACCAUCAUCAUGUCUGCCAGAUGGGCCUAUCAGCUACAUGACCUUAUGUCAGUCAUCAGUCACAUAGAGGGGGUAUUGUCCUGCUCCUGCAUUCAUCCCAGUCAUCAGUCACAUAGAGGGGGUCUUGUCCUGCUCCUGCAUUCAUCCUAGUCAUCAGUCACAUAGAGGGGGUCUUGUCCUUCCAGUCAUCAGAAACAGCAUUGGGCGGUAUAGGUGCAUGUCUGACAUCAAUGUGUACAAGAUUACAAUGAUUAAUUUAAUACGUCAAUCUAAGAAAAUGCUAUGUCACAUUUAACACACUGUUGACCAGUAGGCUGAUGGACUGGAAUGCUUUGGGUUGUUCGUUUGAACCCUUGUAGAGGUGUUAUAACCAGCCAUAAAAUAACACAAUAUGUCACAACAGUGUUAUGAACAUGUUAUGACACUGGGUGUCAAGUAAAGUGUUAUCGAUAUUUCUAAAUAGGUGAUUGGAAAUAGGUGUUUAAUAUUGAAUAAAAUGACUCCACUGUC
ensembl:lncRNA